AGAGUUUGAUCCUGGCUCAGAUUGAACGCUGGCGGUAUGCUUAACACAUGCAAGUCGAACGGUAACAUGGAGAGCUUGCUCUUUGAUGACGAGUGGCGGACGGGUGAGUAACGCGUAGGAAUCUGCCUAGUAGUGGGGGACAACUUGGGGAAACCCAAGCUAAUACCGCAUACGCUCUUCAUUGAAAGAUGGGGAGGAAAGCGGGGGAUCUUCGGACCUCGCGCUAUUAGAUGAGCCUGCGUUAGAUUAGCUAGUUGGUGGGGUAAAGGCCUACCAAGGCGACGAUCUAUAGCUGGUCUGAGAGGACGAUCAGCCACACUGGGACUGAGACACGGCCCAGACUCCUACGGGAGGCAGCAGUGGGGAAUAUUGGACAAUGGGCGCAAGCCUGAUCCAGCAAUACCGCGUGUGUGAAGAAGGCCUGAGGGUUGUAAAGCACUUUCAAUUGGGAGGAAAAAGCAAGUGUUAAUAGCGCUUGCCUUGACAUUACCUUUAGAAGAAGCACCGCUAACU
rnacentral:rRNA from 1 species